GUCCCUGUAGCGCAAUGAAUAGCGCGUUAGACUUCUAAUCCAAAAGUCGUGGGCAUGAAUCCCACCUGGGAUG